rnacentral:snRNA from 1 species
AUACUUACCUGGCAGGGGACAUACCAUGAUCACGAAGGUGGUUCACCCAAGGCUCUUGUCGGCAAGCAUUCUUGAACGGCUUGCCACGCUAAGUCUUUAUGAGGAUUUAGCAG